AUUGAACGCUGGCGGCAGGCCUAACACAUGCAAGUCGAGCGGAGCGGCGGACGGGUGAGUAAUACCUAGGAAUCUGCCUGGUAGUGGGGGAUAACGUUCGGAAACGGACGCUAAUACCGCAUAAUAUCAGAUGAUCCUAGGUCGGAUUAGCUAGUUGGUGGGGUAAAGGCCUACCAAGGCGACGAGCCGUAACUGGUCUGAGAGGAUGAUCAGUCACACUGGAACUGAGACACGGUCCAGACUCCUACGGGAGGCAGCUGUGGGGAAGAUUGGAAAAUGGGCGAAAGCCUGUGCCAGCCGUGCCGCGUGUGUGAAGAAGGUCUUCGGAUUUUAAAGCACUUUAAGUUGGGAGGCGUUACCAACAGAAUAAGCACCGGCUAACUUCGUGCCAGCAGCCGCUGUAAUAC
rnacentral:rRNA from 1 species